UCUUUCGUAUACGGACCGCGCAAUUGCAUUGGAGCCUGGUUUGGACAAAUGCAAACUAAAGUAGGAAUUGUAAAGAUUCUGCAGAACCACAAAGCCGACGUUUUUGAAAAAACUGA